UCAGGGAUUCUCAGGGAUGGAAGUGAGACAAAAUACCUUCCACCUCUCAGAAUCCCUAUUU
rnacentral:pre_miRNA from 2 species